GUCCAUGUAAGAGUUCGGUACCGUUCUCCAUGUUUCUGUCCCCGCAACUUCUUUCUGUUUCAGUUCAUGUGAGCGCUGCAGCAGUCUUAGGCCCGCCCAAAAUGCUCUCAUUGGUUGAGACCCGUGAUGACGCCCAUCCUAAGCCAAUACUGAUCAACACCCCACCCCUCCUGCGACCCAAGAUUUGUCUGGUGCCCUAGCGCUUUGGGUGACGUUGAGUCGGUAGACUGGGCUCCCACUGUUAGCCUCGGUUACCACACAACAAGUAAGCCCAGAUCAGAGGCAUCUCUUCGACGAGAGCAGAGGAUGGAGCUCAAGGAAGACCAACAAAGACAAUCAGAAUGUGCAGAGGCUUUGUUGGAUCUCCUGCAGACAACCGAGAGCCCAGAACCGACGCAACCCCCGUCUGACAGCCCACAACCAGAGGACACCAGUGGGAUAUUAAAUGACCAACAAGAUGCAGGAUGCCUGACUGAUUUAACGAUGGAGGACAUCGAGAGGAUGGAGGAUGUUCUGAGAGAC